GACGAACGCUGGCGGCGUGCCUAAUACAUGCAAGUCGAACGCAGUGGGGACGGGUGAGUAACAAGUGGGUAACCUCCCAUCAGAGGGGAUAAAACGUGGAAACAGGUGAUAACCCGCAAAUGAUGGAUGGACCCGCGGUGCUGUAGCGAGUUGGUGAGGUAACGGCUCACCAAGGCGACGAUGCAUAGCCGACCUGAGAGGCUGAUCGGCCAAACUGGGACUGAGACACGGUCCAGACUCCUACGUGAGGCAGCAGUAGGGAAUAUUCGGCAAUGGACGAAAGUCUGACCGAGCAACGCCGCGUGAGUGAAGAAGGUUUUCGGAUUGUAAAACUCUGUCGUUAGAGAAGCGGUAUCUAACCAGAAAGCCACGGCUAACUCCGUGCCAGCAGCCGCGGUAAUUC
rnacentral:rRNA from 1 species